rnacentral:lncRNA from 1 species
UCGUAUGUAACUGACUUUCGAACCUGUUUUAUGCAUUUUGUAGACCAAAAAUCAUGGUUUUAAUAAAUUUAAAUUUUUGUUAAAAUAAUUGAAUUACUAGGUAAUCCGAUCACACCUAAAUAAAAAGGAUUGGUGGUGAGCCCUGUAAUAGGCCCUUUUCGCCCGGGCCUGUUAGAAUUAAAAAAAUCAAAAAUCAAAAAAACAAAAAAAUAAACCGAAAUAAAAACAAUAAAACUCCAUUAGUCCAAGACAGUCCAUGACUCAAUAAACUUAAUCCCUUAGCCCAAUACAUUAAACCCAAACACUAAAUCUAACCGAUAAUCCCCAUCCCAGAACUACCCCAAAUGGCCCAAAAUUUCUAUUCCAGAAACUGAAACCCUAGCCAAACAGCGCCGCAAUUCUCACAAACGUCUCCUCACGCCGCAAGCAACCACCAGUGGCCUUCACAACAGCCUCCAGCCAGCCGAUCUCAAAGCAGGCUCAGAGGGCCCAAACAGUGAAGCUUCUGGAAACCUUCGCGCUAUCGCCCAUGAGCAGUUUCUCCAUGCACAGCUGUACCUGCAACAAACCCACAAGCCAUAGCAAUAGAGAAAUAACAGAAAAUAAAAAUCGUUCUGUAAUUAUUAUUGUUAUUAUUUUAUUUACUUAUUUUUCGACUAUAAAAACCGAAUGAAAGGAUGUAAAAAGGGGAGGAUACUGAAAUAAAAAAACCACUGAAAUUAAAAGGUGAUUUCUGAUUCAAAGGAUCUUUAGUUUUUCAACUCUGUUCAUUUUGUUUUUCUCAUGAGAGUUUGAAAGGAUUUGAAAAUAAAAAAAGGAAAAGGAGCGAUUUACCUUGUGAUUCCAUUUGAUUUGUUGAAAUCGAUGUUGAGAUAAGAUCUUAUGGCCGAGAAUGUCGUCCCUCAAGGCUUGAACCCGCUGAACGCCGUCUAUAGUGGCGGAUCGGCGUUUCAAAGUGUGGUGUUAGGAUCGGUUGAGAGAAAAUCAAGAGAGGCUAGGGUUUUGAUUCAUAAAAAACGGCUGAAUAUUGUUUUUUUUUUUUGCUAUGCAUAAGCUUUUAUAAGGGGCAGAAAACGGCACCGUUCAAAGUCAAUUGCAAUGGCUUCAAAACGG